AACGAACGCUGGCGGCAUGCCUAACACAUGCAAGUCGAACGGGAUCCAGGCUUCGGCCUGGUGAGAGUGGCGGACGGGUGAGUAACACGUGGGAACCUGCCUUUUGGUUCGGGAUAACCGCGGGAAACUGCGGCUAAUACCGGAUGCUCCCGAGAGGGGAAAGAUUUAUCGCCAGAAGAGGGGCCCGCGUCCGAUUAGGUAGUUGGUGAGGUAAUGGCUCACCAAGCCGACGAUCGGUAGCUGGUCUGAGAGGAUGAUCAGCCACACUGGGACUGAGAUACGGCCCAGACUCCUACGGGAGGCAGCAGUGGGGAAUAUU
rnacentral:rRNA from 1 species